rnacentral:sRNA from 1 species
UUCUGAACAAAUGAAA